UACGUAGGUGGCAAGCGUUGUCCGGAAUUAUUGGGCGUAAAGCGCGCGUAGGCGGCCCUGUAAGUCCGCUGUGAAAGUCAAAGGCUCAACCUUUGAAAGCCGGUGGAUACUGCAGGGCUAGAGUCCGGAAGAGGCGAGUGGAAUUCCUGGUGUAGCGGUGGAAUGCGCAGAUAUCAGGAGGAACACCAAUAGCGAAGGCAGCUCGCUGGGACGGUACUGACGCUAAGGCGCGAAAGCGUGGGGAGCGAACAGG
rnacentral:rRNA from 1 species